rnacentral:rRNA from 1 species
AGUGAACGCUGGCGGUAGGCCUAACACAUGCAAGUCGAACGGCAGCACAGUAAGAGCUUGCUCUUACGGGUGGCGAGUGGCGGACGGGUGAGGAAUACAUCGGAAUCUACUUUUUCGUGGGGGAUAACGUAGGGAAACUUACGCUAAUACCGCAUACGACCUACGGGUGAAAGCAGGGGAUCUUCGGACCUUGCGCGAUUGAAUGAGCCGAUGUCGGAUUAGCUAGUUGGCGGGGUAAAGGCCCACCAAGGCGACGAUCCGUAGCUGGCCUGAGGGGAUGAUCAGCCACACUGGAACUGAGACACGGUCCAGACUCCUACGGGAGGCAGCAGUGGGGAAUAUUGGACAAUGGGCGCAAGCCUGAUCCAGCCAUACCGCGUGGGUGAAGAAGGCCUUCGGGUUGUAAAGCCCUUUUGUUGGGAAAGAAAAGCAGCAGGUUAAUACCCCGCUGUUCUGACGGUACCCAAAGAAUAAGCACCGGCUAACUUCGUG